rnacentral:tRNA from 1 species
GGGGGCGUAGCUCAGUUGGGAGAGCGUCGCGUUCGCAAUGCGAAGGUCGUCGGUUCGAUCCCGUCCGCCUCCA